rnacentral:rRNA from 1 species
UACGUAGGGUGCGAGCGUUGUCCGGAAUUAUUGGGCGUAAAGGGCUCGUAGGCGGUCUGUCGCGUCGAAAGUGAAAACCCAGGGCUUAACCCUGGGCCUGCUUCCGAUACGGGCAGACUAGAGGUAUGCAGGGGAGAACGGAAUUCCUGGUGUAGCGGUGAAAUGCGCAGAUAUCAGGAGGAACACCGAUGGCGAAGGCAGGUCUCUGGGCAUUAACUGACGCUGAGGAGCGAAAGCAUGGGGAGCGAACAGG